AGAGCGAACGCUGGCGGCAGGCUUAACACAUGCAAGUCGAGCGCCCCGCAAGGGGAGCGGCAGACGGGAGAGUAACACGUGGGAACGUACCUUUCGGUUCGGAACAACCCAGGGAAACUUGGGCUAAUACCGGAUACGCCCGUAAGGGGAAAGAUUUAUCGCCGGAAGAUCGGCCCGCGUCUGAUUAGCUAGUUGGUGAGGUAACGGCUCACCAAGGCGACGAUCAGUAGCUGGUCUGAGAGGAUGAUCAGCCUCACUGGGACUGAGACACGGCCCAGACUCCUACGGGAGGCAGCAGUGGGGAAUAUUGGACAAUGGGCGCAAGCCUGAUCCAGCCAUGCCGCGUGGGUGAUGAAGGCCCUAGGGUUGUAAAGCCCUUUCGGCGGGGAAGAUAAUGACGGUACCCGCAGAAGAAGCCCCGGCUAACUUCGUGCCAGCAGCCGC
rnacentral:rRNA from 1 species